UCCCACUUUUGGGAGAGAACGUGCCAGCACAGUGUGGACUGAACGGCAGUUGGGUAUUUGCUAGAUAACGGAGCGCGUACAGUGAAGUAUUAUUUAUUCGAAAAUUGUUGAAGUUUGUGUUGGAUUACGUUCGAAGCUGUUGCGAAAGUUCCAUUAGUAGAUUAACAAUGACUGGGCGAAAAUCGGGACAUGUUUGUGCGGUUAGAAGUUGCCGCAAUAAGCGAUACAAUUCAAAAAAGAGAUUUUUUUGCUUUCCUAAACGAAUUGAGAGGGCAAGAAUGUGGGCAAGGAAGGCCAGUCGGAAAGACCUUUUAGAUAGUAUUGAUCUGCACAAAAGUCAUAGGUUAUGCGAAGAUCAUUUCGAAACAACAAUGUUCACAAAUCACCUCUGCGAACGGUUAAGUGCAAAUGCAUUUCCUACCUUAUUUCCCCCUCUUGAAGAAGGUGCCAAAGGAAUUCCUCCCGAUCAUACAUAUUCUAGACCAGGAUUAGUACUGCCAGUGAAAAUGGAAGGUCUUGAGAAUAAUGUUGGAGUUCCAGUUAAAAAAGAAGAAAGUCCAACGUUUAGCUCAGAUAAUGAAUCUGAUGUGAUUGACGACCCAUCCACUACUCCUGCAGAUGCAUUGACGUCUCCAACAUCUACAGAAACAACGUCCACUUUGCGUUUUAAUAGCCGGUCAAAGAGGAGAUACAAUAAAUUGCCCUUUCAUGGUCGAGUAGAGACAUUGGAAAAUAAGUUAAACGAUGUGGAAAAUAAUUAUUACUACUUUGGACAAACAUAAACAAGGAUAGAAAAAUGAAUGAUGUAAGCGGUAUGGCAAAGAAUUUAAAGAUGUGUGCUUAUGAUUUGUUUGCAAGGCCUAAAAGUGUAAUAUAUAUAGCCAAGGGGAGGAACUACGAGAAGAAAUGCUGACGAAGUGGUUUAAAAAUCAUAAGCCGUUGCCUUUUUGGGCAAUAAAAUAAUAAUAUUAAAUUAAAAAUUAAAAUAAAUUAAACGGAAGAACAUUACAAGAAAGUGAAAUUUAUUAAUGGUUUUAAAAUUUCUAUAACUAGUGCCCUAGGAUUGUUUAACUAUUUAUGCUACUGCUUCGAUUAUCGAUUUGAAAACCAUUUUGGAAUAAUAAGGGGAAACAGCAACUGCGUGAAUCCAACACCUAUAUCGUUUAACAGGUCAUUUGGUGAAUUACAAUGUGCGGCAUUGCUUCACAUUUGAAAAUGCCCAAUGAUGCGUUUGUAGAAUAUAUAUUCGAAGAAAACUUUUUAUUGAUUGUUAGUAUGUUAAUGUUAAUUUUCUUACUUCCCCCAUUUCCUCCCUAAAUAUGAUCCUGUAAAAUAUUUUUAUAUAUUUCGAAAUAUAAAAUGAAAAUCAUGGACAAAACUGAUUAUUUCUUUUAAGAAAAACUAUUCUAUAAACAUAAUAAACCCAAGUACUAAAAAGCGUAAUUUUCAGCAAGACUGUUCCCGAUUCGUGUCAAAUUGAUUUGUUAUUUGUCAAAUCUGAUUUAGUUUGUGAUAAUAUUAAGAUUUGCAUUUAAUUCAUAUUAAAAUUUGUUAACUAAGGCAACUGCGCUGUUUGCCAUACCAAUAUUCGUUGUGUGGGACGUAGACCACGGACAGUACAAAAUGUUUGGAUGAAAAGUGCAACGCCAUGUUUUCUGCUUGUAAACUCAAGCUAUUAGUGAAAUAAACGAACAUUAAA